AAUGAUGAAGUUCAAACAAACAUUGUUGCUAGAUCACUUUCACAUGGGCAGCUCUGAUACUGCUUAUCCACUGAGGAUUUUCUGAAUUGCGUUCAACAUUUAUUGACUCCUUACAUUUUACUAUAUGCUGGGUCCCAGCCAUAAGUAUACCUUUUAACUCCCCCCACCCCUUACCGUGUAGAAAUGUAAACAAAAUCUCUCUUCAUAGUGAUUCCAGCAGGCAGCAUGUCCUGAAGGUCUUGUACAACAUGUUGAGGACUGUGGACUUUACCCAGACAGCAAUAGGAAACCAUCAGUUGUUUUUAGGUGGGAAGCAGUGUGCUUAGAUGUGUUCCUUCUGUCCCGUUCUGGCUGUACUGUGGAUGCCUGACUGGAAGAGUGCAGGACUGGAAGCUGGGAGACCCGUUCAGGGCAGUUGGAGUUGUCUCGGUAAGAAAAUGAUGGAGGCUGGAACUAGAGCGGUGGUGCAUGGAGAAACCCAGAGCACAUGCAUUUGAAGGAUAGGCAAAGAAUGAGUUUUUUGGAGUCUAAGAAACGGCAGCCAGAGAGGUAGGAAGAAAACUAGGAGAAAGUAUUCUCUCCAAAAACUGACAAAGCAAGUUGCCUCUAGAAGAGUCAAGAGGAAAAGGGAAACAUCUAACAUUUUUCUAAAUGCCAACAAGUUUAUUUAGCCCUUGCCAUUAUUCCCCAAGUCCUAAUAAGUAAUAAUUAUCCCUAUUUUACAGAGGAGAACAUUAAGAUGCAAGAUGUUAUGGGAGUAAGGUGAAAAGAUUAGCCUACGAAUGAUGGGAAAAGGUCUGCUCUUCUGAAGCAGCUCUGCCUCACAGACCCAGGAUGCCAGGAAGGUAUUGACAAAGAGGGAUGUUACCCCAGGGCAUGGAGACACUCCCAUCUUAUUGCCGCCUGUGGUCCGAACAGACUCUAGGACCAGAGGCCAGCAGUGGUUUCGUUCCAGCUUCCUCCUGAUUUGAGGCUUUCUACAUCCAUCAGCAUUUAAAAAAUAUUUUAUAAUUUCAUUCAUCCUCAAUUGGAUAUAUAUUUUUGAGUACUAGCUUUGUUCAAAGAACCACACUGGAAAGAAAUACAAAGGUGAGUGAGAUCGAGUGCAUUUUCUUAGAGUUCACCCUCGUGUGGGGCAGGGAGCCAUGGAUGGAUAAUCUCAUUAUUUAGGAUUGGCUUUGGUGUGAGUGGCAGGAAACUCAAAA